UGUAAGCGUAUACCAAAGUUGUUGCAGUUAAAACGCUCGUAGUCGGAAUUUGGCAGUUCCGGAUGUGUGCACGUCGUGUGCGCACUUCGCGGGGAUUGCUUUUGUGGUCUUGCGUAGGAUGAGGCACUUUUAUUAGUGAACGUCCUCACGCAACCACUUUUUACUGUGAGAAAAUCAGAGUGCUCAAAGCAGGCAUUUGCCGUGAAUGUAUUAGCAUGGAAUAAUAGAAUAGGACUUGGUUCUAUUUUGUUGGUUUGUUGGGACUGAGUAAUGAUUAAGAGGGACAGUUGGGGGCAUUUGUAUUUCGGUGCUAGAGGUGAAAUUCUUAGAUUACCGAAAGACAAACUGCUGCGAAAGCGUCUGCCAAGGAAGUUUUCAUUGA
rnacentral:rRNA from 1 species